UACGGAGGAUGCAAGCGUUAUCCGGAAUUAUUGGGCGUAAAGCGUCCGCAGGUGGCACUUCAAGUCUGUCGUCAAAGACCGGGGCUUAACCCUGGAAAGGCGAUGGAAACUGAAAGGCUAGAGAGAGGUAGGGGUAGAGGGAAUUCCCAGUGUAGCGGUGAAAUGCGUAGAGAUUGGGAAGAACAUCGGUGGCGAAAGCGCUCUGCUGGACUGCAACUGACACUCACGGACGAAAGCUAGGGGAGCGAAUGGG
rnacentral:rRNA from 1 species